CUAAUAGCGGCGAGCGAAGCGGGAAAAGCUCAAAUUUGUAAUCUGGCGCUUUCGGCGUCCGAGUUGUAAUCUCGAGAAGUGUUUUCCGCGUCAGACCGCACACAAGUCUCCUGGAACGGAGCGUCAUAGUGGUGAGAACCCAGUACACGGUGCGGAUGCCUGAUGCUUUGUGAUACACUUUCGAAGAGUCGAGUUGUUUGGGAAUGCAGCUCAAAUUGGGUGGUAAAUUCCAUCUAAAGCUAAAUAUUGGCGAGAGACCGAUAGCGAACAAGUACCGUGAGGGAAAGAUGAAAAGCACUUUGGAAAGAGAGUUAACAGUACGUGAAAUUGUUGGAAGGGAAACGCUUGAAGUCAGACUUGCUAUUCGGAGCUUGCUUCGAUUCGCAGGCCCGCAUCAGUUUUUCGGGGCGGAAAAUCGUAGAGAGAAGGUAGCAGUUUCGGCUGUGUUAUAGCUUUCUACUGGAUUCGUCCUGGGGGACUGAGGAACGCAGCGUGCUUUUUGCAUGGGCUUCGGCCUAUCCACGCUUAGGAUGCGGC
rnacentral:rRNA from 1 species